UCCCUUCCUGCUCCCCAUCUCUGAUCCUCUGAAAGAGUUCUCAUCUGUGACAAGCUCACUUAAAAAGUCACAAGUUAAAGUCAUUUUUCUUCACUGCUGGGCUACCCACACAUGGUGGUGGAGAAUGCCAGUUGGAAAGAUGGAUAGUUUGAGAGUCUGGGGAGUUGAAACUGGAGAGUAAGAAGGCAAAUGAAGAAACCAAACCCCAGAGGGGGUGAGUAACCUUCCUGAAAAUCACACAGGCAGAGUUAGUACUGGAUCUCAGCAAGUUUCACUCCACUAUAUUUUUUUUUUCUGGACAGCAGAUUACUAUAUUUAUCAAUGGGAGUUAACAAUUAUGCCCACCAGGGGGCAUCCAGCAUCCCUGAAUCUUUCACAAUACUCCAGAAAAGCCAGCCAUUGUGGGGUCCUGAAGCCUAAGUACUCAUGGAAUCUGGAAAUGGGUGCAGUGACCAUGUUCAUCAAAAUAAAAAUACUUGUUAAAAGUGUCUUUCUUGAUAUCAAAACUGU